rnacentral:rRNA from 1 species
UACGGAGGGAGUAAGUGUUGUUCGGAUUUAUUGGGUGUAAAGGGAGUGUAGGCGGAAAUUUAAGUCAGGGGUGAAAAGUUAGGGCUUAACCCUAAACCUGCCUUUGAGACUGAAUUUCUUGAGUAUGGAAGAGGGCGAUAGAAUUCCUGGUGUAGCGGUGGAAUGCGUAGAUAUCAGGAGGAAUACCGAUAGCGAAGGCAGUCGCCUGGGACAAUACUGACGCUGAAACUCGAAAGCAUGGGGAGCAAACAGG